ACGUCGUUAUUUCAGUUUGGUAGAAGACCGCCUCGUCAAGAAGCGGGGAGACACAGGUUCGAGUCCUGUACGGCGUC
rnacentral:tRNA from 1 species